GUUCUGUUUGCUGUUCCGAGUUAUUUGUUAAUAUGGAAUGACAUUAUUAAAAUUGCAUAAGAAAUAGCUAGAAAAUGUGUCAAUUAAUUAUUUCAUAAUGAACGAAAGAGGAAGUUAUACCACAGAGACAUUUGCCACUAGGUAGUUGGUACUAUUCUAUUGAUAUAAUAUGAUAUAGUAAACAUAUCUUCGUAAUUGUUUUUUUUUUUUUUGACAUGACGCACCAUGAUUUUUCAAAAUGUUUUUAAAUGGACACGUAGUUAACAAUUGUGGCUUAUCAAGUAUUUUUUUUUGAUAGUUGUGUCUCCGCGAGAAGUGGCAAAAAAAUGGAGCAGAAAAAAAUAACAUGAUUUUUUUCAUCCAAGUUCAAGGAAAUGAAUGUCUGUAAAAAUAUGUAUUAUGAACCCCAUUUUAUGCUCCUUAAUUCUGAAUUUAUUUGGUUGCUCUCGCUUGCUUGGUUUAGCUGCAAUAACAGUUUAAAAAUUACCUUGAUUUUUUGACAUUUUCGUGGAUAAGUCUGAAACAAAAGAAGAUCGAAGGCUGAUAUUACGCAUACAGUGUUCUUAGGACCUGCCACUACUGCACCUCAAAUUACAACCAAAUCCCUUGCGGGGGCCAAUCUUCUUAGCUUAGCUUGCUAGACCCUUUAAAUAUAAAAAU